rnacentral:misc_RNA from 1 species
UCGUAACAAGGUCUCCGUUGGUGAACCAGCGGAGGGAUCAUUACCAGAGUGCCCUAGGCUCUCCAACCCAUUGUGAACUUACCAAACGUUCCCUCGGCGGGCUCAGCGCGCGGUGGCCUCCGGGCCUCCGGGCGUCCGCCGGGGAAAACCAAACCCUGAUUUAAUCGUAUUUCUCUGAGGGGCGAAAGCCCGAAAACAAAAUGAAUCAAAACUUUCAACAACGGAUCUCUUGGCUCUGGCAUCGAUGAAGAACGCAGCGAAAUGCGAUAAGUAAUGUGAAUUGCAGAAUUCAGUGAAUCAUCGAAUCUUUGAACGCACAUUGCGCCCGCCGGCACUCCGGCGGGCAUGCCUGUCCGAGCGUCAUUUCAACCCUCAGGCCCACCCUUCCGGGGGAGCGGGCCUGGUGCUGGGGAUCGGCGGCCCUCGCGGCCCCCGUCCCUCAAAUACAGUGGCGGUCGCGCCGCAGCCUCCCCUGCGUAGUAGCACAACCUCGCACCGGAGAGCGGAACGACCACGCCGUGAAACACCCAAUUUUUUCAGGUUGACCUCGGAUCAGGUAGGAAUACCCGCUGAACUUAAGCAUAUCAAUAA